rnacentral:ribozyme from 1 species
GAAUACCCUCAGGAUAAGGCUCAAGCUGUUGAGUGGCACCCAGUGGAAGGGACAGUUCUUGCAACUGCAAGCUACGACCGUCAACUGUGCGUAGUUGAUGGGCGUUCACCA